GAUGAACGCUGGCGGCAUGCCUAAUACAUGCAAGUCGAGCGAACAGAUGAAGUGCCUGCACUUCUGACGUUAGCGGCGAACGGGUGAGUAACACGUAAGGAAUCUACCUAUAAGCGGGGGAUAACAUUCGGAAACGGGUGCUAAUACCGCAUAAUAUCUUCUUCCGCAUGGAAGAAGAUUGAAAGACGGCUCUGCUGUCACUUAUAGAUGACCUUGCGGUGCAUUAGGUAGUUGGUGGGGUAAUGGCCUACCAAGACGUGGAUGCAUAGCCGCCCUGUGAGCGUGAUCGGCCACAUGAGGACUGGGACACGGCCCAAACUCGUACGGGAGGCAGCAGUAGGGAAUCUUCCGCAAUGGGCGAAAGCCUGACGGAGCAAUGCCGCGUGAGUGAAGAAGGCCUUCGGGUCGUAAAACUCUGUUAUAAGAGAAGAACAAAUUGUAGAGUAACUGCUACAGUCUUGACGGUAUCUUAUCAGAAAGCCACGGCUAACUACGUGCCAGCCGCCGCCGUAA
rnacentral:rRNA from 1 species